CAGGAAGCGGGCGCCAGCCCCCCAGGCUCUCGGGAGAAAGGGGGGCGGGCCUUCUCAACCUCCGCCACACCUCCACCUCGCGGGGGUCCUUGCGGAUGGAGCUUGAAGGGUGCAUAUCUGGUUGUAAACGACUGGGAGCUGAAUGGCAGAAGAGGACUCAGCAUCAAAUAUGCACUUUACCCCGUGCAGAGGCCCAAAAAACGUGGCCUUUGACAAGAAGGAGGAACAUGAGGGAUCUGGAAGCAAGAGGAUGCUUCUGGAGGUUGUGCUCUACUAAAAUGAGGGACUAAACAAAGAAAAAAAGAAGAUACAGGAUAUAGGAAACAGAAGAUAUAAUGCAGGAGAAAAAUGAUUUGAGAGGCCCUGACAACAAUUCUUCACCAGACAUGGAUUGGUACAGGUCCAGAAGGCCCAGAAGAGAUUCCAUUUUCAGAUGAAACUGAUAGAACACCUCGUCUAUCUAAGUCUUGGGAAGCAGAGAUUGAAACAAUCGUUAAAAAGUUUGGGCUUGGCUUGGUGAUGGAUAGUAAACCAAAAUAAGAUAAUAACUGCAGGAAAAACAAAAAGCUGAGCAGGAGAAGAAAAGUGAUCAUAGUAUAUACUACUUGGCCCAAGAUGUAAGUAAUGUUUACCUAAUCAUAAUGAAGUAAACAGAAACCUAUUUAAAAAAGGACAAUAUAACUAGAUUGAGCAGAUCAAAGGAUGAAAAGUGUGGUGGCGGUGGGGAAAAGGAUAGGGAAAGAAAGAAGAAUUAAAUCCUCAUUUCCCACUGAGUGAAAUCAACAGAUAACGCCUAGAAGUGAGAAAUCGAGAAAUAGCAAUGCGAACAUUUUAUAUAGAGAAAUGAAAGUAAACAUCAAAAUAACCAGUUAAAAGACAAGGAGGGGGAAAUUGGUAAGGGGGGGGGUACAGUCUCUGCUCUUUCAUUGCAAUUUAUAAGAUUUCUACAGAAUUAUUUGGCUCUAAAUCACAGACAUGCAUACUCUGAUAAAAAAUUAAAAAUAACAUUAAAGGGAAAAAAAGAUUGCUCUAAACCCAGAUUUUUGCUUCUGGAGAAUUCACUUCUGGUAAGGGAAACAGAAAUGAAAAUAAACUAAGAUUGAAUGCAGUAGGCUCAACAACGGAAAUGUUUGCAAUGACUGAGGGAGCACAGAAAACAAUUGACUACUAUCUGGGGAGUGUAAAGAGGCAAUCUUAGAUGGACAGAAUAGUAGGCAAUAAUAAGGAUGAAACAAGAGAUACAUUGUAUGUUUUGGGCCCUUACCAGUCCAUAGUGCUGGUGUGGAUUAAAAGCAGGAUCCCGAAUAUUAUACAUAACAUACAUGUUAGGAUGCAAUUUGAAAGUCAAGGAGAACAUUAAAUUGUUAAAUGAUUAUUAGAGGGAGUUGGAAUUUGGGACAGGCUUUGAACACUUCUGUAUUAUUUUAACUAUAAAAGCCAAUAAAGGGCUGUCAUUUUGAAAAACAGAAAACUAAAAAUGCAUGUUUCACUUGGACCUUGUCUGAGGCGGUUCAGGAUAAAAUGCAGUAAGUUUUGAUCAUGGAUCUAGCUAGCUAACAGCCAAAGGAAUGUGAAUGUUCUUUCCUUUCCUUCCAUAUGCAUUUAUGAGGCGUUCGGCCUCAGAGAAGAUAAUUUUAAGGUAUACAAAAAUUUAAAGUUUAGGAUUGAAUUUUUACUGUGUCUGUGGUAAACAUAUGUGCAGUUGCUGUCAUUGGGACAUUAACCUAUGAAUUAGCCAUAGCCCAGGACAUGUGAUUAUACAUGGAUUAGGGACAGAAAACUGUCCUCAACUGAGGUGACUGAUCUCAGAGAAAGACAGUGUAGAAUCCUACCAGUCUGAGUGAAUUAUCCAUACUGAGUAUGGAUAAUGUAAACCCAGAUUUUAAAAACAAGUCUACCACUACUAUAGGAAACAAAGUGGGGUUGUUCAAAAAAUUGAAAAUAGAAUUAAUAUACAACAAUACCACUUCUGGGUAUAUACCCCAAGAAAUUGAAAGCAAGGUCUCAAAUAGAUAUUGGAGCACCCGUGUUCAUAGCAGCAUUAUUCACAAUAGCCCAAAGGCCGAAGCAACUCAACUGAUAAUAGGGGAACAAAACGUGCUAUAUAUAUGUAAUGGAAUAUUAUUCAGCCUUAGAUAGGAAGGAAAUUCUGCCACAUGCUGCAACACGUGUUACAUCCUUAAUGGAUGAACAUUAAGGAAAUAAGGCAGUCACAAAGGGACAUAUGGCUAUAUGAGUCCACUUAUAGGAGUUACCUACAACUGUAAAAUUCACAGAGAGAAGAGUAGAAUAGUGGUUCCCAGGGCUAGGAGGUGGGGAGGCUGGGAAUUUGCUACUUCCUGGAUAGAGUUUCAGCUUUGCAAGGUGAAAAGCCUUCUGGAGAUGGAUGUUGGUGAUGGUUGUACAACAUUGUGAAUGUA